UGGGGAAUAUUGCACAAUGGAGGGAACUCUGAUGCAGCGACGCCGCGUGAACGAAGAAGGCUUUCGAGUCGUAAAGUUCUUUUAUAUGGGAAGAUAAUGACGGUACCAUAAGAAAAAGCCCCGGCUAACUACGUGCCAGCAGCCGCGGUAAUACGUAGGGGGCUAGCGUUGUCCGGAAUCACUGGGCGUAGAGGGUUCGCAGGCGGAAAUGCAAGUCAGGUGUAAAAGGCAGUAGCUUAACUACUGUAAGCAUUUGAAACUGCAUAUCUUGGGAAGAGUAGAGGUAAGUGGAAUUUUUAGUGUAGCGGUGAAAUGCGUAGAUAUUAAAAAGAAUACCGGUGGCGAAGGAGACUUACUGGGCUCAUUCUGACGCUGAGGAACGAAAGCGUGGGUAGCAAACAGG
rnacentral:rRNA from 1 species